rnacentral:rRNA from 1 species
AUACGUAGGGGGCGAGCGUUGUCCGGAAUGAUUGGGCGUAAAGGGCGCGUAGGCGGCCUGUUAAGUCUGGAGUGAAAGUCCUGUUUUCAAGAUGGGAAUUGCUUUGGAUACUGAUGGGCUUGAGUGCAGGAGAGGUUAUCGGAAUUCCCGGUGUAGCGGUGAAAUGCGUAGAGAUCGGGAGGAACACCAGUGGCGAAGGCGGGUAACUGGACUGCAACUGACGCUGAGGCGCGAAAGUGUGGGGAGCAAACAGGAUUAGAUACCCUGGUAGUCCACACUGUAAACGAUGAAUGCUAGGUGUAAGAGGUAUCGACCCCUUUUGUGCCGGAGUUAACACAAUAAGCAUUCCGCCUGGGGAGUACGGCCGCAAGGUUGAAACUUAAAUGAAUUGGCGGGG